AAUAAUUUAAGGAUUAGAAGUAAUUCCCACUUAUAUGGCAAAAAUUUCCGAUCAACUCAUUAAUGCAGGUGGAAUGGAGACUCACAAAAAGAAUUUAUGUGGGACAGCAGAGGACUGUGAAAAAUGAGUAUUUGUUUCCUCAACCCAAAAGAAGCUUUUCUGCAGGUUCUCUGCAGAGGACAGGACACCGUCCCAGGAAUUGGGGGGAGCUCAACAUAGGAUGAGUAGAAGUCCCCGCUUCCAGAGCUUCCUUGGUGCUCCCUGAAUUUUACAGAUGGCCAGGAAUGGGAUCCCCCACGUUCUCCUUCUAGUCUAAGAAGACAAGAAAAUAAACAAGGAAAAUGUCUGUGAUGGUAGUUGGCUGCCUGAAAAGCCCUGGGGUGCCCAAACUGUGGCCAGACCCCGCUCAGCUGCUGGGGUGCCCUGACUUCACCCUAGUGGUCAUGCUGCCAUCGGUGUGCGGCACCCACUGUGCAGGGAUGUUCCUUACUCAUUUAGGAACCUGUCCCAGUUAAACCCAGACGACUGGCUCGGUGCCUUGCCUGCCCAUCUCUGAGAUGUUAAGGGAGAGUUAUGUGUCCAAGCAGUUCAAAAUUAAAAGAGAAAACAAAAACCCCAAGGCUGUCUGAAUAUUGCCAGUGCCCACCAAGGAACUGCUCAACUAAAUGCACUGAGCAUGCCUGGCCAUCUUUGUCUUGUGGGAAGUAUCAGUGCCACAGGCUGAAAACUGCUCAAAGAGCCAUUGCCACCAUUGAAAAGCCUGAGGAUUAUAAUUGCAACAGGUCCAUGGACAGAAACAUGAAGUAUAAAGCUUUAAAUUCAAGUC